GACCGGUUCUGGACCGGACGGUCACUGGACCCCGCACGGCCGGACCCCGCCGACCCCUGGCGGGCCCCGGCGGUCUCGGUGGCGGACCGGUCG
rnacentral:tRNA from 1 species